UGGAGAAUGGGAUCUAGCUCAAAAAGCACUGGAUGAUAUUAUAUACAGAGCCCAGCUAGAGUUAUAUCCAGAGCCAUUGCUGGUUGCUAAUGCAAUAAAGGCUUCAUUGCCUCAUGGUCCCAUGAAAUCUAAUAAGGAAGGUACAAGGUGUAUUCAAGUUGAAAUCACACCAACUUCCUCUCGAAUAUCAAGAAAUGCAGUAACCAGCAUGUCAAUAAGGGGUCAUAGAUGGAAAAGACAUGAGCAACCUGACAACAAUAAUGAUGCUACUGAAUUGGGCAUCCUUGUCAUUCCUGAGAUUAGUGUCACAAAUGUGGCCGGAGAGAGAACCGGGAAUGGGGAAAAAGGCAGAACACUAGGAGAGAUUGAUGCUCAGCAUAUACAGGGUGUGCAGGAAACGGCCACAGAUCCUAGAACUGAGAGCAAAGGCUUGCCAGAGAUCAGGAGGCAAAAAUCUGAAAUACAGAAUUAACAGGUCAAGAAGAACUGAUGGAGAUAUCUGAAGUUGACGAGGGAUUUUAUUCCAGGGCUGCAUCUAGUACCAGCCAGUCGGGUUUAUCAAACAGUAGUCACAAUUGUAGUAACAAGACAAGUAUAGGAAAGAACCACAGACGGUCAGGAGGAAGCAAAACUGGAGG
rnacentral:sRNA from 1 species